rnacentral:rRNA from 1 species
GUGGGGUAAUGGCCCACCAAGGCAACGACGGGUAGCCGGCCUGAGAGGGUGACCGGCCACACUGGGACUGAGACACGGCCCAGACUCCUACGGGAGGCAGCAGUGGGGAAUAUUGGACAAUGGGCGAAAGCCUGAUCCAGCAACGCCGCGUGAGGGAUGACUGCCUUCGGGUUGUAAACCUCUUUUAGUAGGGACGAAGCGCAAGUGACGGUACCUACAGAAGAAGCACCGGCCAACUACGUGCCAGCAGCCGCGGUAAUACGUAGGGUGCGAGCGUUGUCCGGAAUUAUUGGGCGUAAAGGGCUCGUAGGCGGUCUGUCGCGUCGGGAGUGAAAACUCAGGGCUUAACCCUGAGCCUGCUUCCGAUACGGGCAGACUAGAGGUAUGCAGGGGAGAACGGAAUUCCUGGUGUAGCGGUGGAAUGCGCAGAUAUCAGGAGGAACACCGGUGGCGAAGGCGGUUCUCUGGGCAUUACCUGACGCUGAGGAGCGAAAGUGUGGGGAGCGAACAGGAUUAGAUACCCUGGUAGUCCACACCGUAAACGUUGGGCGCUAGGUGUGGGACUCAUUCCACGAGUUCCGUGCCGCAGCUAACGCAUUAAGCG